CUCUUUACGCUUGGGCCAAUGAUUCAGCUAGUGAGGGUCUAACCAAGGCGCAUCUACUGCUGGUUGAAAAAUCUUUCCAAAACCCUUCUUAGGCCUGGGUUAUUUUUCCUUUGUUUUCAGAUAACUUAUGGCCAGAUGAUAACUGC